UCGGCCACUUCUCAGAAUGGUGCUAUGUCUCGCAAGUUGCGCAGUCAGUUGAUUACAAUUAUUUAUUUUUUUACACCAUUUCAGCAGCGCAAAAGAUUUGAGGCUGAUCCAAAAUCAAAAAGCCUCGUCUUGGUAAGAUCCCUGGAGGAGAGGGGUGUGGCUCAUUCAUAGCAGAGGCGUAUCAUCACCAAAGUUCAUUCUGUCUGCCAGUCUGAUCCGUCAGGACACAGGCAGGAUUAUCAUCUGUAAAGGCUUCUGUCUGCUGAAUGGUCUGCAUUCAUCUGAAAAUGGCUGUUGGCUUAGUUGUUGUGCUGUAUGUUAUUUCAGUAGUUUCAUCAACACACCCGAAGAAGAAAACCGUCGUUGGAAUCAUCGGACAGCCCGUCCUUCUGCCCUGUGGUCGCUCCAAAUUGGCAACUCCCAACUACCCAACAGGAACAAGAAUAUACUGGCAAGAUUUAAUCCCCCGAGUGCUGCACGUUUUCAAAGAUGGAAACGAGGAGUAUGACCACCAACACCAUUUGUACAAAAACAGAACAACAAUUAACACAGAUCAGUUGGCUUCUGGAAAUCUGUCACUCCUGCUCAACCCAGUCAAUGUCCGAGACAAUCGCCUGACCUGCGAUGUUAUUCUAAUAAUCAAUGGCGCAACAUCAAAAGAGUGCCAAAUCACUGUCGAUGUAACAGCGAGUUACCAAAAGCCCAAGCUGACAUUAAACGUCACAGACAUGACGCUUGUGUGCAGCACCCACGGAGGCUUCCCUGAAUACCAGGUGACAUGGAGGACCCAUAACCGUACCCUGGAGCGUCACGAGGCUGUCAACAAGACUACCCAGGAUCCCGGAACAGGGACGUACAACAUCAGUAGUCGAGUGAAUGUGACAGAGGGACAACAUAUAACCUGCAGUAUCUACAACCCCAUCCUCAAUGAGACCCAGAGUAGCUUUAUCGUCAUACAAGCCUCCAAAGAGGAAAACCAUUUACUGAAAUGUAUCCUGCUGGCAGUUUGUCCAUUGGUCAUGUUGUUGAUUGCGGUCAUUCUCUGUUUAAAAUACCCCAACUUCAGGAAGCCAUGGAGGAAGAUGAUCCAUUGCUGCCCUGAACCUGAACCUGAACCUGAAAACAAUGCACAAGAACCAGAAAUUGCAGAAUUGAAUCCACAACAGUAGAAAUCAACUCCCAGAAUCCUCCAGUGGUGAGGAAGARGACAAGUUACUGCGUUGCUGGUGCAUACGGCUGGACAAAAUGAGGACAUUGGUGUGCCAGAAGAGGAGCUGGGGGAGGAUUGGGAGUAGAGACGGGGACCUAUGAGGACGUUGGAGUUUCCUACCUCAGAGAAAUGUUAUUUUACUGGGGCACCUUGUCUCUCUGUUAACCAAGGAGACCUUAGACCUCGUCAGGUCCGAAGUAGCAGACCACCCGUCUCCCAGGGACCGUAGGAUGCCCAACGUCAAAGAGCUGAUUCCACGUCUGACGGAGGACGACGAUGUGGAGGCCUAUCUUCUGGCCUGCGAACGAACGACGCAGAGAGAGAGAUGACCUCCGGAUGACUGGACUGGCCUCUUGGCUCCACUGAUCACAGGCAGAGCCCAGGCGGCGUACUAUGACAUUGAGGAAGGGGUAGCUGUGUAUUACGCACGUCUGAAGCCAGAGAUUCAGUCCCGCUAUCAGCUGAACCCCAGAGACCGGGCCCAAAGGUUUCAUGACUGGAAGUCACCGAGGGGCCAGCUCUACCAGCUUCUCUGUCUGGUAAGGGGGUGGCUAUGCUCCACAAACCACUGCCGAAAUGUUAGAAACCCAAGUCAAAGUGUUUGAGGGAAUUACCCAUCACCAUGCAGAGGUUAGUUGGUUACAGUUGACCACCUAGUCCAGUGCGUCGAGUUAUACUUGUCUACUAAAAGCCUUUCUGCCGUUAGCAGGGCCGAAAAGAACACUCUAGUGGAACGCCCCAUGGCUAGCYYGAGGYUCGYCAAGGCCAGCACCUAGCCCCAUAGUCAAAACUGUUAGUAAGGCCACGCCUCAGGGCCCUAUACAGUGAUUCAAGUGCAACACAUAUGGUCAUAUGGCUAGACCCUGCCCCGGUGUAGAUGUCCCUAUGCCCACUGAAUCAUCAGCCACCACCGUGACCAGMUGGAAUGUCCCACGCCACAYGUAUAUUGACAUGUGGAGCUGGCCCCGGCCUGGAGUGUGCCAGUGCGCGUUAGAYGGACGGACUGGGAGGCCUUCCUAGAUUCGGGAAGCAUGYUYUCUCUGGUACGGGAGGAGGUCCUGGCCAACACGCCACGUUCCGAYGKGGAAACAGCUGUAUUUGUAUUUAUUAUGGAUCCCCAUUAGCUGCUGCCAUUAGCUGGGGUCCAGC